rnacentral:tRNA from 1 species
CAAAGAGUAGUUUAAGUAUAAAAAUAAUAACAUUGGAAGUUAUAGAUUAAAUGUAUAUUUAUUUUUUGA